AUAGAGACUCAGAGCUGCAUAUCAAUAAGCGGAGGAAAAGAAACUAACAAGGAUUCCCUUAGUAACGGCGAGUGAAGCGGGAAGAGCUCAAAUUUGAAAUCUUCAAGGUUCUACCUUGACGAAUUGUAGUUUAAAGAAGUGUUUUCUGUUGAAGUUUUGGUAAAAGUUCUUUGGAAUAGGACAUCAUAGAGGGUGAGAAUCCCGUAUUUGACCAGUUAUUUUCAGCUGUGUGAUACACUUUCAAAGAGUCGGAUUGUUUGGGAAUGCAGUCCAAAAUGGGUGGUAAAUUUCAUCUAAAGCUAAAUAUUGGCGAGAGACCGAUAGCGAACAAGUACCGUGAGGGAAAGAUGAAAAGAACUUUGAAAAGAGAGUUAAACAGUACGUGAAAUUGUCAAAAGGGAAGCGUUUGACACCAGUGUUGUUUUUCCGAAAAUCAAUUACGAAUGGCUUGAUUUUGUGUUGUAUUGACCUUAUCAGCUUUCUUCACUUUUUUCGAGUCUUUCUUAAUGCACUUUUCGGUUAACAAGUCAACAUCAAUUUCUUUUGUUGUAAAAGAGUAUUCGGAAGGUGGCUUUCUUUUCGGAGAAAGUGUUUAUAGCCCUAUACUUCUACAAUCGGAGAGAUUGAGGUCUGCAGCGUAGAUCCUUCGGGGUUAGAUACAUUUGUGCUAAGUUGUAGCUUUUCAUAGACAACUUGUUGACUAUGUUAAGUCUUGUAGCUUACUCGCUUAUGCUAUUUUACCUACGCUUAGGAUGUUGACGAUCAGCUGAGCGCG
rnacentral:rRNA from 1 species